UGGACAGCCCUGGAGAACGAAGUCCUCUAUUUAUCCACUAAACAAGUGCAGCAGCACUGCAAGCUUCCAUCCCACCAAAACAGCUAUCUGGCUCAACUCUGAGCUGGAGGGAUGCCCCUCUAGGGCAAGGCGAUAGUUUAGUCUCCAUGGACAUUUCAAAUCAUUGGUCCCU
rnacentral:sRNA from 1 species